AACGAACGCUGGCGGCGUGCCUAACACAUGCAAGUCGAGCGAGAAAGUCCCGGCAACGGGAUGAGAACAGCGGCGAACGGGUGAGUAACGCGUGGGUAUCUGCCCUCCAGACUGCGAUAACCUGCCGAAAGGUGGGCUAAUAGCGGAUAACGUUCUUGUGGGGAUCCUGCGGGAACCAAAGGGGGGCGAGCGUAAGCAGCUCUCACUGGAGGAGGAGCCUGCGUCCGAUUAGCUAGUUGGUGGGGUAAUGGCCUACCAAGGCGACGAUCGGUAGCCGGCCUGAGAGGGCGACCGGCCACACUGGAACUGAGACACGGUCCAGACUCCUACGGGAGGCAGCAGUGGGGAAUAUUGCGCAAUGGGCGAAAGCCUGACGCAGCGACGCCGUGUGGGUGAUGAAGGCCUUCGGGUCGUAAAGCCCUGUCGGGUGGAACGAAUCUCUCGGUGGCGAAUACCCACCGGGAUUGACGGUACCACCGAAGGAAGCUCCGGCUAACAACGUGCCAGCAGCAGCCGCCG
rnacentral:rRNA from 1 species